rnacentral:rRNA from 1 species
CUACCGAUUGAAUGGCUCAGUGAGGCGUCCGGACUGGCCCAGAGAGGUGGGCAACUACCACUCAGGGCCGGAAAGCUCUCCAAACUCGGUCAUUUAGAGGAAGUAAAAGUCGUAACAAGGUCUCCGUUGGUGAACCAGCGGAGGGAUCAUUACCGAGUUUACAACUCCCAAACCCCUGUGAACAUACCACUUGUUGCCUCGGCGGAUCAACCCGCUCCCGGUAAAACGGGACGGCCCGCCAGAGGACCCCUAAACUCUGUUUCUAUAUGUAACUUCUGAGUAAAACCAUAAAUAAAUCAAAACUUUCAACAACGGAUCUCUUGGUUCUGGCAUCGAUGAAGAACGCAGCAAAAUGCGAUAAGUAAUGUGAAUUGCAGAAUUCAGUGAAUCAUCUAAUCUUUGAACGCACAUUGCGCCCGCCAGUAUUCUGGCGGGCAUGCCUGUUCGAGCGUCAUUUCAACCCUCAAGCACAGCUUGGUGUUGGGACUCGCGUUAAUUCGCGUUCCUCAAAUUGAUUGGCGGUCACGUCGAGCUUCCAUAGCGUAGUAGUAAAACCCUCGUUACUGGUAAUCGUCGCGGCCACGCCGUUAAACCCCAACUUCUGGAUGUUGACCUCGGAUCAGGUAGGAAUACCCGCUGAACUUAAG